GGCUGUGAGGGGAGGCUGGAGACCGGCUGCUGGGAGGGUAGAGCGGGCCGGGUCGCACGCGCCACCUGCGGGGCUGGCUGGCUUUCUCUUCCUGCCGACACAUCCCGGUCCCUCUCCGAAGCCCCUGGAGUUCGGGAGCGCGCGGGGUAGCGCGCACACCGACUCGCAUCCACACACACGCCAGAGCGCGCGAUCAUCACUGCUGCAGCCCGGGCAGGGCAGACGGAGCUGCUGCAGUUUCCCCAGGGUCGAGAGGAAAGCAGAGCUGUCUUGCCUGGCAGAGAGCCUGGUGCCCGCUGGAGCCCCUGGGGUAUCAAGCCCAGCAGACUGCUCCCCUCCAUCGGGUAAGCCAGUCUCUCUCCUUGUGACAGGUUCGGAAUUAGUGUCAGCAGACCCAUGGGAGAGGGUGGGAGGCUGCGGAUGAGCCAGACCCGGCGAGACCUGGAGUUGCGGUUUCAGAAGAUGCAGCCUCUGCUGGCAACGUCUAGCGGGAGCAAUUACUACUCUGGUUACUUAUUCUACCAACCUAGAGUUGCAACCCCCUCCCCCAACCCGGUAUGCACUAUGCUUCCUGGUUGCCAAGGAGACGUGUUUAAACAUCAGCCUUGGGACAUACAUUGGAAGAAGUGAUUUCUUAGAUCCUUUUUAUUUUGACUUAAAACAAAGUAGUAUGUGCAUUGAGGACCUUGUGGCAACUUAGCAGUCGUUAAUUUGUAUUCAGACAGUGGUUUCAUUCAACUUUAAGAAAGUGACUAUACGUAUGCGAUUUUUUUUAAAGGACCCGUCAGUCAGAUGAGUUUUUCAAUGGAUUGUGUCUUACAUGGUAAUUUACUACCAUCUUGGUGACCUUAAAAGAAAUUUAAUUUAGAAGCUGCCCUUUCCUUCUGUUUCCAGUUCUAGUUUGCAUUUCACUAGUAUUAAAUUAACUGUAAGAGCAGAUGAUUUUUAUUGUGGCUCCCACACCGGGAAGCUUUUCUGUUGUAAAUUGGCCAGAAGGGGAACAGCGCCUGUGAAUUUCUAAGGCAACAGUAUAGAUGACAUUCACUCACGACAUACAGCGUUUCUGACAUUUCUGUGUCCACUGCAGCCCGUUUGUGAAAUUCCAUCUUCCAGCCUAAUUGGUUGAUUAGAAGUUAAAGCUUCGUUUCUAUGUUGAUAGAGGUAGACAUGAAGUGCUUGCCCUGGCAUACUGUCCUAGAACAACGCUCACAUUAGAAUUUUGUUUUCUUCUGGAAUACGGAAGAACCCUUUCCUAAAAUGAGGCCCAUGAAGGACACCAUACGCCUGACCUCACAGGAGUCCCUCGUACCUGGACUGACUAGGGCUGAUUUUUCUUUUCCUCUCAGAUGUUUAGUGAGUGAACGUGAGGACCUCAGAAAUGCAGUCAUUAUACUCUGUGCUAAUCCCAAUCCUUUCAUUACAAAUAGAAUAGCUUAGUGGAGAUCCAGCUGCAUUCAACAGUUCAUUUUGCUUUCUUUUCAUAUCCAUUUUCCUACUUCUUGCUAAGUAAGGGAGUCGUACCACAUUCUUUAAUUUAGAUUUUGAGUUCUGUCAAAUGACAUGGUAACCGGGGGAGGGGGAGGGGGAGGAAGGGGAAGCCAAAUAAUGACAGGUAAUAGGCAAAGGGGUUUGUGACACCCAGAGAGCACUGACAGUGUGUAAUGACGGCGAACAGCUGACAGUAUGGUCUAGAAAGCACUUCCCAGUAAUGCCUUUCUGGAGCCUCACAGUCACCAUGAAGCCAAACCAUCACUCACUCUCAGAGCAUAGCUCAAGGAGUCAAGAUUCAAACCUUGUAGGUCAGAGGCACUGGAUGGGGAGACCUUGUUCGGAUCCAAGCUCUUUUCAUUAAGUUGAUUUUCUUUGGGGGUGGGGAGGAUUGACAGUUAAGAUUAAGGACAGGUCAAGGACAGGUGGGAAUAAUGUACCAUAUUUUCAAGGAAAGCAGAAGUCUCUGUAUUUUUUAUAUGAAAGUAUUUUUAAUUU
rnacentral:lncRNA from 1 species